rnacentral:rRNA from 1 species
AUUGAACGCUGGCGGCAUGCUUUACACAUGCAAGUCGAACGGCAGCACGAAAGAGCUUGCUCUUUUGGUGGCGAGUGGCGAACGGGUGAGUAAUGCAUCGGAACGUACCGAGUAAUGGGGGAUAACUAUCCGAAAGGAUAGCUAAUACCGCAUACGCUUUGAGAAGGAAAGUGGGGGCUCUUCGGACCUCACGUUAUUCGAGCGGCCGAUGUCUGAUUAGCUAGUUGGUGGGGUAAAGGCCUACCAAGGCGACGAUCAGUAGCGGGUCUGAGAGGAUGAUCCGCCACACUGGGACUGAGACACGGCCCAGACUCCUACGGGAGGCAGCAGUGGGGAAUUUUGGACAAUGGGCGCAAGCCUGAUCCAGCCAUGCCGCGUGUCUGAAGAAGGCCUUCGGGUUGUAAAGGACUUUUGUUAGGGAAGAAAAGGAUAGUGUUAAUACCAUUAUCUGCUGACGGUACCUAAAGAAUAAGC